GGGUCAGUACGCAUAGCGGCGAUUGCAGCGGUCUGUAAAACCGUGACUUAGAAACACCGUUGGUUCGAUUCCAACCUGACCCACCA
rnacentral:tRNA from 1 species